UACGUAGGGUGCAAGCGUUGUCCGGAAUUAUUGGGCGUAAAGAGCUCGUAGGCGGUUCGUCGCGUCGGCUGUGAAAUCCCGAGGCUCAACCUCGGGUCUGCAGUCGAUACGGGCGGACUGGAGUUCGGCAGGGGAGACUGGAAUUCCUGGUGUAGCGGUGAAAUGCGCAGAUAUCAGGAGGAACACCGGUGGCGAAGGCGGAUCUCUGGGCCUUACCUGACGCUCAGGUGCGAAAGCUAGGGGAGCGAACAGG
rnacentral:rRNA from 1 species